GCCAGAACUUAAACCAAAUGAUAACAAAACUCAGCUAGUCCACCCCCCCUUUAAAGGACCACUAUAGGCACCCAGACCACUUCAGCUUAAUGAAGUGGUCUGGGUGCCAGGACGAGAAGCUGCUAUGUUUACCUCUGGGUUAAUCUAGCCUCUAGUGGCUGUCUCAAACAAGUCCCACUGCCUUUGUUCGCACAAACAAGAUGGCCAAGAGCGCUUAAUUGAGGUACGCUUUGAAGUUAACGAGCCAGGGGGGUGGUCUCUGUUCGGUAGUUACAGCUACCAAAUGAAGGGAAAUAAACGAAAUGACUUCGU